rnacentral:rRNA from 1 species
GUUUAUCAAAAACAUUGUCAUUUGAAAUUCAAAUAAAUGAUACAUCCUGCCCUAUGAAUUACGAAUUAAAUGGCCGCGGUACCCUGACCGUGCAAAGGUAGCAUAAUCAUUUGCCUAUUAAUUGUAGGCUGGCAUGAACGGACAAACGAAGACUAACCUUUCCCCUCCAGGCACUUAAAAUCUUACCUCCAAGUGAAGAGGCUUGGAUAAACCCGCAAGACAAGAAGACCCUAUAGAGCUUUACCUAAAAUCCACCUAUCAAGUAAUACAUGGUUCGGUUGGGGCGACCAAGGAAAUAAUCUAAACUCCCUUUAAAUACCAGAUAUACCUAUCCUUCAAAAGAUCCGCCUACCGAGAUCACAGAAAUCAGCUACCUUAGGGAUAACAGGCUAAUUUUUCUUAAGAGCCCUUAUUAACAGAAAAGAUUGGCACCUCGAUGUUGGCUUAGGAUCUCUAUAUAAUGCAGCAGUUAUAUAUAGAUGGUUUGUUCAACCACUAAUAUCCUACGUGAUCUGAGUUCAGACCCGGA